GAUGAACGCUGGCGGCGUGCCUAAUACACGCAAGUCGAGCGAACAGACGAGGAGCUUGCUCCUCUGACGUUAGCGGCGGACGGGUGAGUAACACGUGGAUAACCUACCUAUAAGACUGGGAUAACUUCGGGAAACCGGAGCUAAUACCGGAUAAUAUAUUGAACCGCAUGGUUCAAUAGUGAAAGACGGUUUUGCUGUCACUUAUAGAUGGAUCCGCGCCGCAUUAGCUAGUUGGUAAGGUAACGGCUUACCAAGGCAACGAUGCGUAGCCGACCUGAGAGGGUGAUCGGCCACACUGGAACUGAGACACGGUCCAGACUCCUACGGGAGGCAGCAGUAGGGAAUCUUCCGCAAUGGGCGAAAGCCUGACGGAGCAACGCCGCGUGAGUGAUGAAGGUCUUCGGAUCGUAAAACUCUGUUAUUAGGGAAGAACAAAUGUGUAAGUAACUAUGCACGUCUUGACGGUACCUAAUCAGAAAGCCGCGGCUAACUACGUG
rnacentral:rRNA from 1 species